GAUGAACGCUGGCGGCGUGCCUAAUACAUGCAAGUCGAGCGAACAGACGAGGAGCUUGCUCCUCUGACGUUAGCGGCGGACGGGUGAGUAACACGUGGAUAACCUACCUAUAAGACUGGGAUAACUUCGGGAAACCGGAGCUAAUACCGGAUAAUAUAUUGAACCGCAUGGUUCAAUAGUUAAAUACGGUUUUUCUGUCACUUAUAGAUGGAUCCGCGCCGCAUUAGCUAGUUGGUAAGGUAACGGCUUACCAAGGCAACGAUGCGUAGCCGACCGGAGGGGGGAAUCGGCACAAGUGGACAUGGGAACGGGUCCCACACUCGGAGGGAGGCACGACGCGGACUCCUUCGGCAAGGGGCGAAAGCGAAAAGGGGAAACGCGGCGGGAGUGUGAACGAUCUAUGGCGCGUAAACCAUUAUUUUUGGGGAGAAAAAAAUUUCUAAUAAACGAGGAAAGUAUGACAGGACCCGAAGAAGAAGCCCCGGCCAAAUCCGGG
rnacentral:rRNA from 1 species